rnacentral:lncRNA from 1 species
CAUUCUUGGAGAGCUCUGGUGGACGUCACGCUCAAGACACCUGAAAUCUCAAUUUCCCUCUUUGCUCUUCAAGACGGAUAAGACCCGAAGCAUCCGGGACAGGAGGACGCCUCACCCAGCGCUGCAAUAAAGCCGCACCGGCGCCCGGGUGGUCACACCAGGACUGGGGUGACCACGGUACACGGCUCCCUCAGGGCGUGCGAACAGGACCGCAGACUUGCACGCCUGGAUUCUAGCCGCGGGCGGGGAAAGCAGAGGAACAGAAGUGCGU